CCUACGGGCGGCAGCAGUGAGGAAUAUUGGUCAAUGGGCGUAAGCCUGAACCAGCCAAGUCGCGUGAGGGAUGAAGGUUCUAUGGAUCGUAAACCUCUUUUAUAAGGGAAUAAAGUGUGGGACGUGUCCGAUUUUGUAUGUACCUUAUGAAUAAGGAUCGGCUAACUCCGUGCCAGCAGCCGCGGUAAUACGGAGGAUCCGAGCGUUAUCCGGAGUUAUUGGGUUUAAAGGGUGCGUAGGCGGCCUUUUAAGUCAGCUGUGAAAGUCUGUGGCUCAACCCUAAAAUUGCCGUUGAAACUGGCAGGCUUGCGUUUGUUUGAGGCAGGCGGAAUGCGUGGUGUAGCGG
rnacentral:rRNA from 1 species